CACACUGAACCAUCUUGUGUCUAAAGAGUUGGGGAUACAAGUCCAUGUCUGCUUGGUUGAAUUAAAUGAGGUCAGGAUUCCAACAAAAUUACGAUUGGAAAAGAAUAUUUAAAACUAACACUGACAAGUGACAGCUAAUUGGAAUUGCACACCUAAUUGGAAUUGCACACAUUAUCCUGUGGAAAGUUUGAUUUCUUGGUGGAGACCCAACCAUUUGUGAAGAGUUCAGAAGACUUCCAAGAUGACUGCUGUUGUUCGUCAAAUAAUUUCAGCUGACAAAUUUCCAUUCUGAACCUCAAGAAUGUGUUAGUCCUAUACUAGGAAUGCAUUGUCAAGUUAGCUAUCAACCCCAUAUCUUUCUCCAAACUUCUGUUUAAUCAUAAUAUAUGUA